rnacentral:rRNA from 1 species
AGAGUUUGAUCAUGGCUCAGAACGAACGCUGGCGGCGUACUUAACACAUGCAAGUCGGACGAGAAAGGAGACUUCGGUCUCUGAGUACAGUGGCGCACGGGUGCGUAACACGUAAGCAAUCUACCCCGAACUCCGGGAUAACCCUCCGAAAGGAGGGCUAACACUGGAUAGGGUCCCCGAGGUGUAGGCCGCGGGGGGAAAACGGGCCUCUGUUUAUGCUUGUGGUUCGGGAUGAGCUUGCGGCCCAUUAGCUAGUUGGUAGGGUAACGGCCUACCAAGGCAACGAUGGGUAGCUGGUCUGAGAGGAUGAUCAGCCACACUGGCACUGAGACACGGGCCAGACUCCUACGGGAGGCAGCAGUGGGGAAUUUUGCGCAUUGGGCGAAAGCCUGACGCAGUAACGCCGCGUGGAGGAUGAAGGCCUUCGGGUUGUAAACUCCUGUCAGGAGGAACGACGGAGAAAGGGUGACAAGCCUUUUCCUCCAGACGGUACCUCCAAAGGAAGCCCCGGCUAAUUCCGUGCCAGCAGCCGCGGUAAUACGGAAGGGGCGAGCGUUGUUCGGAAUCAUUGGGCGUAAAGGGCGCGUAGGUGGUCCUGUAUGUCUGCCGUGAAAGGGUACAGCUUAACUGUAGCUUGUCGGUAGAAACUGCAGGACUUGAGGCUGGGAGGGGCUGGUGGAAUUCCCUGUGUAGCGGUGAAAUGCGUAGAGAUGGGGGAGAACACUCGUGGCGAAGGCGGCCAGCUAGACCAGUUCUGACACUGAGGCGCGACAGCGUGGGGAGCAAACAGGAUUAGAUACCCUAGUAGUCC